rnacentral:rRNA from 1 species
GAGCGACCCUAGGUCAGGCAGAACCACCCGCUAAGUUUAAGCAUAUCAAUAAGUGCAGG